rfam:Caenorhabditis brenneri strain PB2801 C_brenneri-6.0.1_Cont34.27, whole genome shotgun sequence.
UAUUCAAGGGUGGAUUGGACCUGUGCUGGUUUCCGCCACGGUGAUAUUUCUGAGUCAUGAUUAUCACCGGGUGAAAAUACGGCACAGGUCCAAUCCUCCCUU